ensembl:lncRNA
GUUUUAAACUGACAUUGGUGCAAUUUCUUACUUUAUAGAAAAUCAGUAUGUUGGGUACCCUUAAGUACAGUAAUAGUCAGUAUAUUAAAUACACAAUUUCAUUUUAUUGGCCGUCAUAUGAUAAUCAACAUUUAAAAUUAGUAUCUGGCUCAUUGUGAUGUAUCUAAAAGACUGGACUGAACCUUUGCUUUUCGCUUAAACUAAAACAUUACCUUAAAUCACACCUGAGCUCAGAUCAUCCACAUGAGUGCACACACAUUUUUUGUCAUAUUCAUCAGGAUACGCUAGUCUAAAUUUACACAAACAAACAUCUGAACAUAUGUGGAAAGAAAAAAACAAAUACGUUUUUGUGUAUGUGUGUGUGUGUGCAAGAUCAAUGUGAAGGUCCUAUUCAAAUGAACACAAAUGAUGCAAAUGUGUGUCAGCCAAUCACUGCAACAUGCAACAUAAAUACAAUCAACACACAUGCACGCAAUUACUCCAAACACAAGCUGCAGACAUGAAUGUGACAAUUGCACUGCUGUUUUUCCUCUCAGGUCUUUUUGGGGGUUACUCUCUUCUUCCUAAGCAGUUCUUUUAUAUAGAAGAUCUAAUGAGCUGGUCGCAGGCUCAGAGCUACUGCCAACAGACAUACACAGAUCUGGUUUUUGUGUACAGUGAGGAGGAUCUAGUCAAACUGGAAGCUUCUCGUCCUCUUUUAGCCUAUGGUUAUGCAUGGAUAGGGGGGUAUGAUAUGAAAUCAGACUAUUCUGACUCACAAAACAUUACGGAAAGUGACAAUACCACGACUCACAGCACAAGCUCGGACUGUCUCGCACUAAACAUUUUUUCCUGGAAACGGGUCAAAAAAGAUUGCGAAAUGCCAUUUUCAUUUUACUGCAGCAGAAAUGAAGGCAAAAGGGUGGUGUUGCGAAUGCAGGUGAAGCCUGGUGGACAAGUGAACACCCAGGACCCUGUAAUUAGGGUGAAGAUGUUAGCUAAGAUCAAUGAUAAAUUGAACAAACUUGGGCUUGGCGAUGCUAUCAAAAUACGGUGGCUCACAAGGCGGGAAAAACAGAGGAAAAACAGUGACAAUAACACUUGCACUUUGGAUACUCCGUAGGUUUUUUUUUUUUUUUUUCUUAUUUUGAAUACAUUUGUAUAAUCUUAUUGUAACAGUUUCUUAUUAUGCUGAGUUAUAACAUAAUGUGUGCACUUAAGGUUUAUCCCUAUAUUGCAUAGAAAUGGUUUUGUUAGAAAAUGCCUCUAUAGGCUAUAUUAAAUUAAAAGUAGUCAAACCUUUAUCUGUAUUUGUCUGUUUUUAAAAAAAAAUACAUUUUGGUUCAACUCUUUGAAAUUAUUUAUUUUAAUCAACAGCAGCAUCGGAAGUUAUUUGAACUGUGUAUUGAUACUUAAUAGUUUAAAAUUAAUUUUGUAAUUUUGCAGCCUUUGCCUUCUUGCUGUGUAUGUAUUUAUGUGCAUGUAAUGAUUUCCUUCUUUGGAAAGUUGCUGUGUAUUUUAACUGGAGUGGCAAACGAGAGGCAGAACUGGCCAAAAUGUUUGUUCUUUUUUAAACAAUAAAAUGUACUUAUAUGUAUUUGCCAUGCACCAUGCACCUGCAAAAGGGUGACAUCCAUUGUUAUAAUACCAUAAGGGGAACACUUUUACUUUAAAAAAAAUCUCAAAUGUAUUUUUUUAACAUUUUAUUAAAAUGCACAUAUAUAACUGUACUUGUGUAAAAACCGCAAAUGUAGAAAGACCCGGGUAAUGUACAGGCAGCCGUUCGUUAUAUUGCAAAAUAAAAUUAGCAUGCAUAUAAGUAGCCUAGUUAUGAGUUAAUUGAGUUAUAUUUCAGGGACAAAAUCCAUAUCAGUCAGAAGAGGGCGCCAUCACACAGAUUUUACGCUCCACGGCCCUGCGAGAGGUUCAGCUGAUCUGUAAUAUUUACAGAUUCACGUGUAUAGAGGUAUUAUUAUAAAACAACUCAACGGAAUAUUUUUUUUUUAAUGUUAAACAUUAAUUAAUGAUUCAUUUAAAAAAAGAGAGAGAAAUAGUAGGCCUAUAUUUUUCACCGCCUAUUUUGUAAAUAUAUUGUAGCGCUUCGUCAUUACCACUAGAGUGCAGCACAGCCCAAGAAUCGGUUUCAUUCACAACCCUGCAAAUAGUUUGUGUGCUGAUGUUACGAAUAUAAAAACAUAAUGACAUACAAUAUUGAUAAACCUAAUAAUGAUAUGCAAUUAAGGUGCAUUAAAGACCUUGAAGAAAAGAGACUUUUGUGGCUUUUAAUGCUUAUGCUAUUUAAUGCUUAUGCUAGGCUCAUCUUGUUCAGGGACUUCUUUGCCACCAAAGUUAAGUGUUUUGCAGCAUGUCCCUGUUUGCCCUUGCUGUCCAUCUGGUUUUCUCCAUUGACAAUCAUUUCAAAAUGUCUGUGUAUUCAGACCAUUUAAAAGUAGGCUUAAGAGUCG